rnacentral:rRNA from 1 species
UACGGAGGGUGCGAGCGUUGUCCGGAAUCACUGGGCGUAAAGGGCGCGUAGGUGGCUCGUGAAGCGUGCGGUGAAAGUCCGAGGCUCAACCUCGGAUCGGCCGUGCGGACUCGCGGGCUCGAGCGUUGUAGAGGCGGGUGGAAUUCCGGGUGUAGCGGUGGAAUGCGUAGAGAUCCGGAAGAACACCGGUGGCGAAGGCGGCCUGCUGGGCAGUAGCUGACGCUGAGGCGCGACAGCGUGGGGAGCGAACAGG